AUGAAGAGUUGGUUGUAGCUGGUCCAUUAAUUUGGGCAAUGUGCACACCUCCUCUUUCAUCCACACACACCUGUGCACCUGUGAGACAGAUGGGGGAAUUUAUUCAUUUAUUGGACCCCUCUGUCUACUCAAUUCAUAUAAACUCAAUUUAUUUAAAAAUGAAUGUAAUGAUGUAACACAUCUAAUACUAAGUUUCAACAACGGAUCUCUUGGCUCUCGCAUCGAUGAAGAACGCAGCGAAAUGCGAUAAGUAAUGUGAAUUGCAGAAUUCAGUGAAUCAUCGAAUCUUUGAACGCACCUUGCGCUCCUUGGUAUUCCUUGGAGCAUGCCUGUUUGAGUAUCAUGAAAUCUUCAAAGUAAAUCUUUUGUUAAUUCAAUUGGUUCUACUUUGGUAUUGGAGGUCUUUUGCAGCUUCACACCUGCUCCUCUUUGUGCAUUAGCUGGAUCUCAGUGUUAUGCUUGGUUCCACUCAGCGUGAUAAAUUAUCUAUCGCUGAGGACACUGUAAAAAGUGGCCAAGGUAAAUACAGAUGAACCGCUUCUAAUAGUCCAUUGACUUGGACAAUAUUAUUAUGAUCUGAUCUCAAAUCAGGUAGGACUACCCGCUGAACUUAAG
rnacentral:rRNA from 1 species